GGCCAGACUCCUACGGGAGGCAGCAGUGGGGAAUAUUGCACAAUGGGGGAAACCCUGAUGCAGCGACGCCGCGUGAAGGAAGAAGUAUUUCGGUAUGUAAACUUCUAUCAGCAGGGAAGAAAAUGACGGUACCUGACUAAGAAGCCCCGGCUAACUACGUGCCAGCAGCCGCGGUAAUACGUAGGGGGCAAGCGUUAUCCGGAUUUACUGGGUGUAAAGGGGGCGCAGACGGCAGCGCAAGCCAGGAGUGAAAGCCCGGGGCCCAACCCCGGGACUGCUCUUGGAACUGCGCGGCUGGAGUGCAGGAGGGGCAGGCGGAAUUCCUGGUGUAGCGGUGAAAUGCGUAGAUAUCAGGAGGAACACCGGUGGCGAAGGCGGCCUGCUGGACUGCGACUGACGUUGAGGCCCGAAAGCGUGGGGAGCAAACAGGAUUAGAUACCCCGGUA
rnacentral:rRNA from 1 species